rnacentral:rRNA from 1 species
UAAUUGCUAAGGAUCAUUUAUAAACUUAUUUAGAAUUUAACUUUUUAAUGAAAAAGUUAAAAUUUUUCCCUGUCGCCCCAACCAAAUAAUAAGCCCAUCUAGAUGGGCUUAUUAUAAAAGAUUUAUAGGGUCUUCUCGUCCUCCGGAAAAAUUUUAACUUUUUCAUUAAAAAGUUAAAUUCUAAAUAAUAAAAUAAAGACAACUAUACUCUCGUUAAUUCAUUCAUACAAUUUUACAAUCAAUAAACUAAUUAUUAUGCUACCUUUGCAA